UACGUAGGCGGCCUAUUAAGUCAGGUGUGAAAGCGUGAGGCUUAACCUCAUUAAGCACUUGAAACUGGAAGGCUUGAGUGAAGGAGAGGAAAAGUGGAAUUCCUAGUGUAGCGGUGAAAUGCGUAGAUAUUAGGAGGAAUACCGGUGGCGAAGGCGACUUUCUGGACUUUUACUUGACGCUCAGGUACGAAAGACGUGGGGAGGCAAACA
rnacentral:rRNA from 1 species